GAUGAACGCGUGGCGGCGUGCCUAAUACAUGCAAGUCGAACGAGUGAAGCUGAAGCUUUUGUUUUGGUGGAUUAGUGGCGAACGGGUGAGUAAUACGUGAGUAACCUGCCCUUGUCUUUGGGAUAAGCCUGGGAAACUGGGUCUAAUACCGGAUAUUCUGCUUCUGCCGCAUGGUGGGGGUUGGAAAGAUUUUUUUGGAUGGGGAUGGGCUCACGGCCUAUCAGCUUGUUGGUGGGGUGAUGGCCUACCAAGGCGUCGACGGGUAGCCGGCCUGAGAGGGUGACCGGCCACAUUGGGACUGAGAUACGGCCCAG
rnacentral:rRNA from 1 species